CAUCUCUGCUAUACGCAAAAUAGAAAAGAAUAAAGAACUUGAUACAACUGAAUGUUUUUAUGCAACAGGCCUAUUUUGAUGGCCCCUAAAUUCGCAUCGAUGACGGGCCCUCUUCCAAUUUUGAUGCUACGCUUGUAGCGGCCACCAUGCUCACAUCCCAAUUACAUGAAAGUAAUACUGCACCUUCGGCAAAUGGAAUGCCGGGCCAGGCUGAUACUGCGGAAGCUUCUGGAGAACAGCCAGAGAGGAAUAGAACAAGCGCUUCCGAGAUUCCAUCAAAUCUAAACUCUCAGGAAGUGCUGCAAGAAGUGUGAGUGGUUCUGACGGAAGGCAAGUUCCGGAAGAAAGGAUCCUAAGGGCUGGUGGUCAAUCGGGAAUUGAAAGGAUCGGCACUAUUCAAAAAUCAAAAGCUGCAUCAGCUGAAGGAAACACCCAAACUGGUCCAAAUUCUUCAUCUCUCAAUCUUGCUCUCAGUUUGUAUGUAUGAUGAACAUCAUCUUUAUCUCUAGGUCGAAUUAUCUUGCUCUCUUACAAAUAUUUUUUUAGUAGAGUUGCUACUUUCUCAAUUGCCUAUUUCCCUACUGUAAAUGCUGCUUUGCAAGAAAGCAUUUGGCUUAGGCCAGUUGAUUGCGCGACUUUAUCUUGGGAUCUUGCCAAAUUUUACUCUUUAUUCAAGCAUCAAGAAGGAAAAAGUUUUGGCAGAAAUCCAUGUAUGUCCUACCAAACCUGUAAGCAUUUCUGUUUUUCCACGAUUUAGUGCGACUGUCCACCUGAUACCAUAGACAAGGUGGAGCAAAACUAUUUUCCGCUUCUUACUCGACUGUGAACCCUGAGGAUGCAUUGCACAUACCUGUGCAAGUACCUAUUUCUGGAAGACUGAGUUCAUAUGCCUUUCUUGGGCUUCUCAGUAUCGAUUCAAUUAGUCUGCUUGGAUCACGUCAUUUGUCAGUGGUUCUAAAUGUUUUUGGAGGCAAAGGUACUGAACAAGGUUGUCACUUACAUAACACUAAUUAGCGCAUCAUAAGUAAGUUCAUGCAGUUUGUUAGUAGUUGAAGCGAUUCUCUUCAUUCUUUUCUUGUGUAGAUGGAAAUGGUUUUUCACAACGUCAUCCAAGUAAUCGGGUUGAUGCCAAUGAGGAUGAGGAUGAUGAUAACAAGGACGGCGAUGAACUCUGUGUUCGAUCAACACCACCAUACCAUGAGGAUCAAUAACGUUUUGUUUCCUGUUUGACUAUGAUAACCUUUCUCUCUUAGUUUUACUGUUAAGUGCUUGUGCCUUCCAAUGCUUGAUGCAUCCUGUCCUGUGUUCCCUUCAAAGAGUUGGAGCAGUGUCUUGCUUGCUUUAAGCGUCCUUUGUCAUUUUUUUCUUUUCUCGUUUUUUCUCCUACUUGACUAUACAUUAGUGCCUGUGCCAAUUUAACUAGUCCACCAUGCAACAAAGCUGCCAUUUAAAUGCACUUCUUUUUCCCUCUCUUUUCUGUUUCAGUAUUAAGUUGAUACACUUUGCCGAGUGAGGUAUCGAUACAGGUAUGGUUCUACACUUUAUUCUACAACAAUUUGUUCCUGGCUUCCUGCCAAUAAAAACAGAGCAGGGUCGAUAGUUCUUACAAGAGUCACAUGCUUAGUGGACAGGAUAUAGCAAUUUAGAACCAUCGGAAAUUGUGUUUAGACCUUCUAAAACCUGUCCAAUAAUUCCUUUCUAGCUUUGCAACUUCAAAUGUGGCGGUGGUGGAUUGGGGGGGUUGGGGCGCUCGAUACCAUCUCUAAAACAGCUAUUCAUGGGGAGAUUUAUGACUUGUUUGAUUAAAGUUUCUGCUGCCUUCUAUACUGAGUUUCUGUGAUCUGUCCUCGUAGUCCAUCCGUUUAUGAAAAUACGACGUCAGCUUUUCUCCCACUUUCUUUCCCUACUGUAUGUAUCAGCACAUUCAAAACGUGAAGGAGACUGUGGAAGUUUUUUUGACCAAAUAGAUCCCUUGCCAUAGAAAGCUUCUGUUUUGUCUGUUAAAAAACAUUUUGAGUCAAUUUGUGUAUAUUAAAGAGGAAGCGGUCAAAAGGUUUUUGAGAUAUUCGUGUUCCUUUCUUAAAAUCACAUUCUAGAAUGAUUACGUCAUUUUUAAACUCCUACGAAUUCAGUUUAACUUUUCCUCGUGAGUUGCUUCCAUUUUACAUACCCAAGGAUGCCGAAUUUCCAGUGUUCUGAUUUGUGACAACAUCUUCUGCUGAGGUCAUUUGUGACGGUGUCAAGGAGUUUGUUCUGCGGAGUAAAUCCCUCCUUUUUGUCAGUAAUGGAACCAACCAGAGUCAGAGUGAUUCGUGGAAUUCAAAGUUUACUUGCCCCGAGAGGUUGCCUAAAGCACGAAUUGAUGGUGGUCUGGAUCGUCUAGAAGCUCUCUCGUGGUACGUGACUUUUGAGUUGUGGGCGUAUCAUCCUACACCUUGCUGUUGCAUAUUCCCAUGUUUCUCAUCCAAAGAAGGUUCAAUUGCAUCGGUUUUCCGAAACCUAUUGUAAGGAUGGAUGAUUUAAAUUAUAAGGAAUCUCAAUGUAAGAUGGUUGCUUAAUCAGGUGCUUGUGCUUUUUC